CUAAUCGCAUGACAAAUAAAAAAAUAACGAUAACGUGCAAUUCAUGGUUGAGAAUGAGAAAGAGGGCAAAGCGGAAGCGAGAGUACCAGUGGCUUCGUCGUAAUGACGAUAAGCCAAGUGCACCUGUCCCACCAACAGCUUUUCUUUUUCCAACGGAUUUUCCACAUGUGCGAUUAAAAGAUGAAAAAAACAUGGAGCACUGAAGCCGAUAUUGACUAGAUCGGCUGAAGAAAUCGCUUACGAAAUCAUCAAGCGAAUUCCACGCUGUAAGGUACUAGUGGACGAUUUUUCUACCUCAAGUGACGUCUCUAGAAAGAAUUUCAUUGAAAAACAAAUUAAUAAUUCAACAAUUCCAGUGGAAUUGAGAGAAUUCAUGUAAGAAAACCAAAAGGAAAAAAUGUUCAACCCGAGAAGAAGCAGAAACAAUUUACAGUACAUAAUUACCUCAGCAAAAAAUAAACAUUACCGACAAUGCAAUAAUAACGUCACGACUUCUCAGGAAUACCCGACGAAAAAUUGAUGAAAUGCCGGCGUUGCACUCGAUUCAAAUGAAACACUACCGGAUUCCGAUAAUACCCCAUAUCUAAAAAUAAUAUUAUUAUAUUAUUAAUAUUAUGUAAUUAUUAUUAUCAUAUAUAAUAUGUGCCAUCUCCAGUUUACGCUUUUAGGAGAUUUCUCUAAAUUUCAGUCAUGAAGUCAUUUUUAAUUUUCAAUUCCCGAUUUUUUCAGAUUUCUCAAGAAUUGCUGAUCAGAUUGACCCAAAAAAAUAUACCGUUUUUGCACUCUAUCGAUAUUUUAUAACUCACGAAGUUUUCUGAAUAUGCGAUGAUUGCUUCCGGUUAUUUUCCUAAAUUUCUAUAAAUUUUAGAAAAGUUUAUGGAAAACGCCGGAAAAUUAUUGCACGAUCAUGAGAUUUUGGGAGUCUAUGUGAAAUUAAAAACAAAUAGUUUUUCUUGAUAAAGAAUCGCCGAUUUUUUCAUGAACACUUGAAUUUUAACGCAUAUCCCCGAAAUUAAAUACUAAAUAUAUAGUAUAUGAAUACUAUAUAAUUUUAGUGGUUCCACGAUUUUGCCAGUUCAUCCGGUGAUUCAGUGCUAUGAAUUAUUUUUAUUUAAUCCGAUUUUCCAUGAUGAGCGCACAGCAUUGGCACGAUAAAUAUCGAAUAAGGAUGUAGAAAGUCGGAUACGUGAUGUAAUGCAAGAAAUUUGUAUGGGAUUCAAUGCACGACACAAGAUUUUUUGUUCAUUGUGUACGCACAAUUGUAUGAGUUUUCAUAAACUUGUGUAACAUGAGUGAAUUAUACGGAGUGUUACUGUUUGAUUUCUACAAUUUGAGGUAACUAUUCUUGCAGAAAGAAAUAGUAGAAGCAAAAUGAGGAAAUAUAAUGCAUAUAAUGGAUUCGAUCAAAUGUAAUAACUCAACUAAAUCUAUAAACAUGAUCAUUUUGUUGCAAAUACCACUCAUUGCUGUCGGGCAUGAACGUGAAUUUACAUCAAUGGAGAUAUCUUCUUUCGCAGUAAUAGACAUAAUUCUAUACUGAACCGAUUUAUUUCUGACAGUCAUCUCCAUUCAAAAUGGCAAAUGGAUUGCAGAUGGCAAAACAAUAUUCAAUAUUUAACAUUAAAAAAUAAAAAUAUCCUCGAAUUAAUUUGGUGUAUCAAUGAAUAGGUGACAGUCUGGCAGAAAAAUGACUUUCUUUUCUCCAUCGAAGUCGUAGAUCAAUUGAUCUUGAAUUGAUCUUGAUUGAAAAAUUUCCAUUAAAACUUAACUAAUAACCGAUAAUAUCAUAAAAUAAAAAUUCACAGCCUGAAAAUAUGCGAGAGAAUCCAAAACUGCAUUUUAGUUCAAUUAAAUUUUUACAGUUCCAUUUAUCAAUGAUUAAUUAAUUAAUAAAAUUAAUACUAAUUAGUGAAUGUCAUGGAUUACUACUUUGUUAUUGAUAUUUAUUUUGAGCAUUUGGGCUUGAAUUUCCUGGAAGGAGAAAUCAUCGAAAUUUUAAUUAAUUCUGCAAAUACUGCGAGCAUAAUUACAUGAUUGCGAUUAUAAUUGUAAUUACAUACCA